rnacentral:rRNA from 1 species
UACGAAGGGGGCUAGCGUUGUUCGGAAUCACUGGGCGUAAAGCGUACGUAGGCGGAUCGUUAAGUCAGGGGGGAAAUCCCGAGGCUCAACCUCGGAACUGCCUUUGAUACUGGCAAUCUUGAGUCCGGGAGAGGUGAGUGGAACUCCUAGUGUAGAGGUGAAAUUCGUAGAUAUUAGGAAGAACACCAGUGGCGAAGGCGGCUCACUGGCCCGGUACUGACGCUGAUGUACGAAAGCGUGGGGAGCAAACAGG